rnacentral:rRNA from 1 species
GACAGAGGUGCCAAGCGUUAGGCGGAAUCACUGGGCUUAAAGCGUGUGUAGGUGGAUGCCUAAGUACCUUGUGAAAUCCCACGGCUUAACCGUGGAACUGCUUGGCAUACUGGCGGUCUUGAGCAACCUAGGGGCGAGCGGAACAAAUGGUGGAGCGGUGAAAUGCGUAGAUAUCAUUUGGAACGCCAAUGGUGAAAACAGCUCGCUGGGGGUUUGCUGACGCUGAGACACGAAAGCCAGGGGAGCAAACGGG